rnacentral:rRNA from 1 species
CUACGGGAGGCAGCAGUCUAGAGGCUUCGGCAAUGGGCGAAAGCCUGACCGAGCGACGCCGCGUGUGUGAUGAAGGCCUUCGGGUCGUAAAGCACUGUCAGCAGGGAAGAAGGCUCGGGAGGUGUCCCUCCCGGGAUUGACGGUACCUGCAGAGGAAGCCCCGGCUAACUCCGUGCCAGCAGCCGCGGUAAUACGGAGGGGGCGAGCGUUAUUCGGAAUUAUUGGGCGUAAAGAGCACGUAGGCGGACAGGUAAGUCUGAUGUGAAAGCGCUACCGCUCAACGGAGCGUUGCCGUUGGAAACUGCCUGUCUUGAGUGAGGCAGAGGUUGGUGGAAUUCCAGGUGUAGCGGUGGAAUGCGUAGAUAUCUGGAGGAACACCCGUGGCGAAGGCGACCAACUGGGCCUUUACUGACGCUGAGGUGCGAAAGCCAGGGGAGCAAACGGGAUUAGAAACCCCAGUAGUCC